CGAUAAGUCAAACUAUACCUCCUUUAAAUGAGUGUAAUUGGCAAACGGAUUAGUAGGUUCCGAGACAUUUGAAGCUGACCACCAAGUAGUAUUUUUACUAUUAACAUUAUAGGCUUUUUGUCCCAAGCACGUUAGCUCACCUACAGACGUGUUAUACAUUGUCCCUUUCCUGGCUAUACAAACAUGACCUAUAAUGGAGGUUUUUAACCACCAUUCCAAUUUACUUCUAGUACUUACUUGAUGAUCAGACUGGAAAGGUAUCUGUUGUUCAUAUGUCUCAGAGCCAG